GAUGAAGAACGUAGCGAAAUGCGAUACUUGGUGUGAAUUGCAGAAUCCCGUGAACCAUCGAGUCUUUGAACGCAAGUUGCGCCCGAAGCCGUCAGGCCGAGGGCACGCCUGCCUGGGCGUCACACGCCGUUGCCCCCCCCGCGCCCCGCACCCAACUCUUUGGGAGCGACCGCGGGGCGGGCUGAUGAUGGCCUCCCGUGCGCUCCGCCGCGCGGUUGGCCCAAAUACCGAGUCCCCGGCGACGUGCGCCACGACGAUCGGUGGUUGAGAGACCUCUGUCGCAAGUCGUGCGCGCCCGUCGCGUCACGCGGGCUCGCAUAGCGCCUCGCGCCGCACCCGAUGCGGAGCUUUCAACGCGACCCCAGGUCAGGCGGGGUUACCCGCUGAAUUUAAGCAUAUCAAUAAGCGGAGGA
rnacentral:misc_RNA from 1 species